UGAAAAUCUACCCAUUUCUCUCUCUCUCUCUCUUUUCUUUUAAAUAAAUUAUCUGAUAAGGCCGGGCACGGUGGCUCACGCCUGUAAUCCCAGCACUUUGGGAGGCCAAGACGGGCGGAUCACGAGGUCAGGAGAUCGAGACCGCGGUGAAACCCCGUCUUUACUAAAAAUACAAAAAAAAAAAUUAGCCAGGCACAGUGGCAGGCGCCUGUAGUCCCAGCUACUUGGGAGGCUGAGGCUAGAGUGCAGUGGCGUGAUCAUAGUUCAUCAUAACUUUGAAUCCGUGGGCUUAGGCAAUCCUCCCAUGUUAGCUUCCCAAGUAGCUAGGACUACAGGGUUGUGCUACCACGCCUGGCUAAUUUUUAGUUUUUUUUGUAUGUACAGGGCCUGGCUAUGUUGCCCAGGCUGUCUCAAACUCCUGGGCUCAAGUGAUCCUCCUGCCUUGGCCUCCUAAAGUGCUGGGAUUACAGGUGUGAGCCACUGUGCCUAGCUAGAACGUUGUUAAUGUAGUUCAAUAUGAGAUAAAUUAUUAUCUUCAAUGAAACAAGCUCUGAAAGCAUUCUCAUUCCUA
rnacentral:sRNA from 1 species